UACGUAGGGGGCAAGCGUUGUCCGGAAUCAUUGGGCGUAAAGAGCGUGUAGGCGGUUCGGUAAGUCGGCUGUGAAAGUCCAGGGCUCAACCCUGGGAUGCCGGUCGAUACUGCCGGACUAGAGUUCGGAAGAGGCGAGUGGAAUUCCCGGUGUAGCGGUGAAAUGCGCAGAUAUCGGGAGGAACACCUAUGGCGAAGGCAGCUCGCUGGGACGUUACUGACGCUGGAGACGCGAAAGCGUGGGGGAGCAAACAGG
rnacentral:rRNA from 1 species